GGGCUGGCUUUAGCCCAGCAGUUCCUUCGAGUUUGGCUUCCCAACCGCCCGGGCUGAUUGGCCCGCUGGUUCGAGACCCACGGGCGCUCUCCAGUCCUUUU
ensembl:misc_RNA Vault Vault RNA